AUACGUAGGAGGCAAGCGUUAUCCGGAUUUACUGGGCGUAAAGCGCGUGUAGGCGGCUUUGUAAGUCGGAUGUGAAAGCCCUGGGCUCAACCUGGGAACUGCAUUCGAAACUGCAUGGCUCGAGUAUGGGAGAGGGAAGUGGAAUUUCCGGUGUAGCGGUGAAAUGCGUAGAUAUCGGAAGGAACACCAGUGGCGAAGGCGACUUCCUGGCCCAAUACUGACGCUGAGGUGCGAAAGCGUGGGGAGCAAACAGGAUUAGAAACCCCGGUAGUCC
rnacentral:rRNA from 1 species